rnacentral:misc_RNA from 1 species
AAAGUCGUAACAAGGUUUCCGUAGGUGAACCUGCGGAAGGAUCAUUAACACGUAUCCACGUAUCAACCCCUCUGUGAAAACCUAUCUCUUGUAAGGCUUGGUCUUAGUGUGCCGUUCGCAUAAGUCCUAAUGAUGGAGGCUCUUCGGAGCCUAGGGCUUGAACAGCAUGUGUUUGACGUCCAGCCGCCACUUUUCCAUCGUUGGUCCUUUACAACUUUUAACCCCUUUGUACUCUUUUGUACUGAACCAAUUCUUCGAUGCUCUUUUAUUUAGAGUGACGAUAGAUAUUACGAAACUAAAGAACAACUCUUAGCAACGGAUAUCUUGGUUCCC